rnacentral:lncRNA from 1 species
GUGAGAGACACAGAGAGAGAUAGACACUGGGCCUUAUAUGCUCUUUUAAAACUUCAAGGUCCACCCCCAGUAAUGCACUUCCUUCAAAAGACCCCACCUCCUAAUCCUUGUAAUCUUCCUCAAACCAGUUCUGGGCUCUAGUGACUAGACAUUCAAAUAUAUGAGCCUAUGGGAACCAUUCUCAUUCAAACCACUAAACAUAGCCAAAUUCUUAGUUAUUUUAGACAGUAAAGGGGCUUCUAGAAUGUUAAGAAUGUUGAAAAUCAAACUGCUUCAAAGGAAAGUAAAAAAAAAAAAAAAAAAAAAAAAGAAAAACUGUGGAAGUAGCCAGCCUUGUACGACUGCAAAAGCAGCCUCGCUGACUGGAUUUUUUUUUUUUUUAAAGAUUUAUUUAUAUGAGUACACUGUGGCUGUCUCAGACACACCAGAAGAGGGCAUCAGAUCCCAUUACAGAUGGUUGUGAGCCACCAUGUGGUUGCUUUAAGAUUUAUGUAUAUGAGUACACUGUGGCUGUCUCAGACACACCAGAAGAGGGCAUCAGAUCCCAUUACAGAUGGUUGUGAGCCACCAUGUGGUUGCUGGGAAUUGAACUCAGGACCUUUGGAUAAGAAACCAGUGUUCUUAACUGCUGAGCCAUCUCUCCAGUUAGCUAACUGGAUUCUUAAGGAUGAUUCUAGCAAAUUAUAAGAAUAAAUAGUAAAAAGAGGCAGGGACAUAUUUGUUAACAAUAUAUUGAAAUGGGAGCUUUCAAGUCAAGGAGCCAAACAUAGUAACUAAAUCAUGACCAUCUGAUGCAAGAUGCAGUCAUAUCCAUGGUACUGAAAAUAACAUGAUGCUUGCUUGGAGUAUGAUGCUAUGUCACCCAAGUCACAGGAUGAUUAUUAAAAGAACACACACACCAAAAAACAUACUUAUCCUAAAGAGAUGGUGAGAUAUAACAUGCCUUAAAUUAUAUUAUAGAAUUUAAAUAACUAGCUUUCACAAUCAGUUUGUGUGUAAAAUGUCAUUUAAAGUGUUUUCAAAUGCAUUGCUCUUACAAUUUAUUUUCCUUUAACUCUUCUAUGAUAUUUAAAGCGUGCAUCUGCCACAUUGAUGAUUAAAUUAGCAGUUUAGAUAACUUGAGUCCCUUUCCCUUUAUAUUUGAGAUGAGGUCUAGAUAUGUAGUCCUGCCUGGCCUCCAAUUUGUAAUCCUCCUGCCUCAGCCUUGAGUGCUGGAAUUGAGUGUGUGCCACCUUGACCAGCCUUUUGUUUCCUUUUUAAUACUAAACCUUACAGUCAGGAUUUGGAGUUCUUACAUCAUAUAUAAUAUGUAAUAAACCAGGAUGAAUAUUGCAUAUUCAAUAUCUCCAGUUUUAAUAGUGGCAUUGAAGUGGUUCUGGACCAAAAGAAGUCAGUUUGUGAAUGUUGUCUGUUAAGUAUUACAAAAUAACAAGGAAAAAAAAACAAAAUAACAAGGGUUAGAAGUUCAAAGUAAAAAACAGACAUCUUUGAUUUCUGAUUAAGAAAAAGCACUCUACAUCUUUUUUUUUUAAGUUUUCUAAGUUUGUUCCUUCUGAGAGAUUAAGUAAAAAACACCUUUAAAAUCAUGUCAGCCUGCUUAGAAUGUACAUGUUAAAAAGCAAUUUAAGAUGAAAAAACUAGCUUUACAGUGUGUACACUUUUUCUCUAAAAUAAACUUUUGUGGCUUUAGUGUCUUAGAAGGAGAGUCCUAACAUGAAAUGGUCAUCUCUUAGAUUUGGGAGGAAGGAAGCCACUGUUAACUGUGUAGUGUUACAGCAUAUUGCACAAAAGGUUUUGGUUUUGGUCUGGUGUAGCUUUGGCUGUCCUGAAAUGAAACACUCACUAUAUAAACCACACUUGCCUCACAGAGAUCCUCCUGCCUCUGUCUCCUGAAUGUUGGGACAAAAGUAUGUGCCACCCCUACCCAGCGAGAACAGUUUUUAAUGAAAACUGAGCUAGAUUGUCCAGUUCUGGUAAACAGUCUUCCAGUCAUCUCACAACCAUUAUUACAACCAUGUACAAAGGGACUCCACUCCACUGUCCCUGUACAAGGACUUUUGACAGUUUAGUGCUUAGUAACUAGUCUUAGUUUUCUUCCUUUUAGAAAAACUGUACAUUUGAUCUCUCAAUUCUGUUUGCAAAGCAGUGCAGAAAACUAUAAUCAAAUGUGACAUGUCUAUAAAAUAAUUUUGACAUAACAGACAUGAACAGACAUAAGAACGGCUUCCAAUGUUAAUUGAUAAUCUAUAAAUAUCAUUUUGGAAUUUGACUGGUUCACAAAUAUAUCCACAAAAUGUUUGCAUAUGGAAUAAUAGAAGCAUAUAAAACAUUGUAUGUAAAUUGCAUCUUCAUACUAGCAAACAAGUUAACAAAUGAUAAUAAAUGCAAUUCAGUUUUGGAUGUUGGUCCACAUUGUCAAGAAGUCAUGUAAUAAUAAUAAAUACAUAUUCUACCUGCUACUUGAACCAUGAGUUUUGCACACCAGAGGUUUAAUGUUUAAGUGUUGGACUUUACUCACUGUAUGAAACACUGAUGACAAGUCACCAAAUCUUCUUAAAUAAGGAACUUGCAAAACAAUGGGGCUUUUAAGUAAUUUUCAGACACUUGAUUCUGAAGAGUCAUAUGGUCAUUUUUGAGUUUUAGAUGUGGUAAUGGACAAAAGCUUGAGAGUGAAGUAAAGCUUUGGAACUUCUCAGGUUGAGAAGAAUUUCUGCCCAGGUCCUCUGUUUAGGACCUGCUGCUCCUGGAGCUGGUGAGGUGGCUCAACCAACUUGCUCUGCAAGGCUGAGGAUCUGAGUCUACGCCCUAGAUCUCAUGAUGGAAGGAGUGAUACCAACUGUACAAAAUUGUCCUGACUGUGACAUGCAUGUGCAUGCAAACAUGCAUGUAAAAUAAAAAGGAACUGCUGUUCCUGGGGCUGGGGGAUGUCUCAUUAAAAUCCAAGUGCAAGUGUGUGGAUCCAGAGCACCCACUUAAAACAAAGCAAAACUAGGGUUAGUGGCACUGAGGAAAUGGACUCAUGAGAUCCCUAGAUCCCUACAGGUUUAGUGAGAGACCACAUCUCAAAGCCCGCUGUGGUAGUGUACGUCUUUAAUCCCAGUAUUUGGGAAGCAGAGGCAGGACGAAUUCUGUGUCUCAAGAUCAGUUCCGGAUACAAAAGUAACUGCUGUUCCUAAUAAAAUGUGUGUGUGUGUGUGUGUGUGUGUGUGUUCCUGAUAAAGGAACAUACUAAUAAAAAUAAUUGCUGUUCCUGAUAAAAAAAUAAAUAUAAUAUAUGCAAUAUUAAUCUUCUGGGGGGAUUAAGAUAGCUUGUAAAAAAAGGAUAUGUAUCCUCAAUCUAGAAAAACAUUUAUGUCAUACACUUUAAAUUUCCAAAUUAUCUCAGCCACAGAGUGGUGGUAGUGGUGCACUCCUUUAAUCCCAGCACUCCAGAGGCAGAGACAGAUCUCUUCACCUGCUUUACAGAACAAGUUCCAUGACAGCCAGAGCUACACAGAGAAACCCAGUCUCAAAGUCUCAAUGAAAUGCACAUAUUCUAAAAGUCUUAGAUGGUUAAGCUACAGUCAGCUGUUCAUGAGUUGAAAAUUUGAAAGGGUUUCUUAAAAAAAAAAAAAAGCUCUCUAGUUAGGUAAUAUGAGGAAGGAGAAUGUUUUAGAGGUAAGAAAGGACUGUUAUAAGCAUGUCUUUACUAACUUAUCUACAAAAUUUCCCCCUUUGGAUAAAGACAUAGAUUCAAGAUGGUUCACACAGCCCGGAAGUCUCACAGGCAGCAUGAUGUCAGCAGAGUGAGCACACUUUCCGCAGUGAUGCUUUGGCCACCUGUUUAAUCUCACUGUCAACAGGAUAAAACUGAUUUCCUUAGUGAUCAGAGAUGACAAGAAUAUAAAAUUAAUAGAAGAUAACAUAAACUAAAUUGUAAUCCAUUGCU